rnacentral:rRNA from 1 species
UACGGACUGUGCGAACGUUAUUCGGAAUCACUGGGCUUACAGGGUGCGUAGGCGGCUUGUUAAGUAGGGUGUGAAAUCCCACGGCUCAACCGUGGAACUGCUGGGUAUACUGGUUGUCUUGAGCCAGCUAGGGGCGAGCGGAACAGACGGUGGAGCGGUGAAAUGCGUAGAUAUCGUCUGGAACGCCGAAGGUGAAAACAGCUCGCUGGGGCUGCGCUGACGCUGAGACACGAAAGCCAGGGGAGCGAACGGG